UAGAAUGAAGCAUAUUGCAGUGCUGUUCAGAUGUCUCAUAGGCAUCGUUCCACUAUACGCUGGGAAGGGUCAGAUCUGCCUCACCACUCUUGGGUAUCAUCAGCCUCUGAUGGAUGCAUCAUAAUAAUCCCUGGCCCACAGCAGGAGAGUCUCCUUUUUGUGACUAAGAGCAAAGAAGUAGUCUGGUAUAUCAGGAGACUGCAAGGAGUCACCCACCUAGAAGACGCGCUGCCAGCUGGCUUGUCCUGUGAAUGGAUGGUCACAGCCAGCAAAGUUGUGAAGUGCUGGGAGAAAGAGCCUGCAGAAGAUGUAACCACUGACCUGAAAAACUAACCCGUGUGUUCAGUCUUUAAGGAUCAGAUGGGCAUAAUCUUCCUGAUCAAGUUUUUGCUACUCCUGGGUACCGAUAAUGAUGGACAUCAGUCCUUCCUUUCUUCAGCUUCUGAAUCUCUGCGGGCUCAUCCAUAUGUGAGAG